GACGAACGCUGGCGGCGUGCCUAAUGCAUGCAAGUUGAGCGCUGAAGGUUGGUACUUGUACCCACUGGAUGAGCAGCGAACGGGUGAGUAACGCGUGGGGAAUCUGCCUUUGAGCGGGGGACAACAUUUGGAAACGAAUGCUAAUACCGCAUAAAAACUUUAAACACAAGUUUUAAGUUUGAAAGAUGCAAUUGCAUCACUCAAAGAUGAUCCCGCGUUGUAUUAGCUAGUUGGUGAGGUAAAGGCUCACCAAGGCGAUGAUACAUAGCCGACCUGAGAGGGUGAUCGGCCACAUUGGGACGGAGACACGGCCCAAACUCCUACGGGAGGCAGCAGUAGGGAAUCUUCGGCAAUGGACGAAAGUCUGACCGAGCAACGCCGCGUGAGUGAAGAAGGGUUUCGGAUCGUAAAAAUCUGUUGGUAGAGAAGAACGUUGGUGAGAGUGGAAAGCUCAUCAAGUGACGGUAACUACCCAGAAAGGGACGGCUAACUACGUG
rnacentral:rRNA from 1 species